GGGGAAUUUUGGACAAGGGGGGCAACCCUGAUCCAGCCAUUCCGCGUGAGUGAAGAAGGCGUUCGGGUUGUAAAGCUCUUUCGGCAGGAACGAAACGGCGGGCUCUAACAUAGCCUGCUAAUGACGGUACCUGAAGAAGAAGCACCGGCUAACUACGUGCCAGCAGCCGCGGUAAUACGUAGGGUGCGGGCGUUAAUCGGAAUUACUGGGCGUAAAGCGUGCGCAGGCGGUUUUGUAAGACAGAUGUGAAAUCCCCGGGCUUAACCUGGGAACCGCGUUUGUGACUGCAAGACUUGAGUGCGGCAGAGGGGGGUGGAAUUCCACGUGUAGCAGUGAAAUGCGUAGAGAUGUGGAGGAACACCGAUGGCGAAGGCAGCCCCCUGGGUCGACACUGACGCUCAUGCACGAAAGCGUGGGUAGCAAAC
rnacentral:rRNA from 1 species